CCCUAGAGCACUCCUUUUCCACAGCCCAGUAUGCCUCUGGGAAGGAAAAACAUAAGGAAGGAGCAGAAAUGAACAAAGAGAAAUAAUGGGAAAAUGAAGGCAGUUGGAGACCCCUGGGAUAAAAGAGAAAAGGAAUGGUAGCUGGAGGAGGCUGUAAGGUGUCAAGGCAACGGGUAUCAACACAGAAGAGAGGGUUCAGCCCGCAUGAGGGAGAGCACAAUGAAUGGAGAGCGGAGGGCUGUGGGAAAUGCCUGGAGUUUCUGGGGAAAUUGCCUAAAAUACAGGGAGGUCAAUAGAUAUCAAGAAAAGAUGAAUAAAUAGGAAAACAUCAGGCAGCA